UACGAAGGGGGCUAGCGUUGUUCGGAAUUACUGGGCGUAAAGCGUGCGUAGGCGGUCUGUUAAGUCCGUUGUGAAAGCCCUGGGCUCAACCUGGGAAUUGCAGUGGAUACUGGCAGGCUAGAGUACGGUAGAGGAUGGUGGAAUUCCCGGUGUAGCGGUGAAAUGCGUAGAGAUCGGGAGGAACACCAGUGGCGAAGGCGGCUCGCUGGGCCGGACCUGACGCUGAGACGCGAAGGCGUGGGAGCGAACGGG
rnacentral:rRNA from 1 species